GACGAACGCUGGCGGCGUGCCUAAUACAUGCAAGUCGAGCGGACGAAUCGAAAGCUUGCUUUUGAUUCGUUAGCGGCGGACGGGUGAGUAACACGUGGGCAACCUGCCCUGUAGACGGGGAUAACACCGAGAAAUCGGUGCUAAUACCGGAUAACACGAAAUGUCGCAUGACGUUUCGUUGAAAGACGGCGCAAGCUGCCGCUACAGGAUGGGCCCGCGGCGCAUUAGCUAGUUGGUGAGGUAACGGCUCACCAAGGCGACGAUACGUAGCCGACCUGAGAGGGUGAUCGGCCACACUGGGACUGAGACACGGCCCAGACUCCCACGGGAGGCAGCAGUAGGGAAUCCUCCGCAAUGGACGAAAGUCUGACGGAGCAACGCCGCGUGAGCGAAGAAGGCCUUCGGGUCGUAAAGCUCCGUUGUUAGGGAAGAACAAGUAACGCAGUAACUGGCGUUACCGUGACGGUACCUAACGAGAAAGCCACGGCUAACUACGUG
rnacentral:rRNA from 1 species